rnacentral:rRNA from 1 species
AGCAGUGGGGAAUUUUCCGCAAUGGGCGAAAGCCUGACGGAGCAACGCCGCGUGAGGGAUGAAGGCCUCUGGGCUGUAAACCUCUUUUAUCAAGGAAGAAGAUCUGACGGUACUUGAUGAAUAAGCCACGGCUAAUUCCGUGCCAGCAGCCGCGGUAAUACGGGAGUGGCAAGCGUUAUCCGGAAUUAUUGGGCGUAAAGCGUCCGCAGGCGGCCUUGAAAGUCUGUCGUUAAAGCGUGGAGCUUAACUCCAUUUCGGCGAUGGAAACUACAAGGCUAGAGUGGUGGUAGGGGCAGAGGGAAUUCCCGCGUGUCAGCGGUGAAAUGCGUAGAUAUCGGGAAGAACACCAGUGGCGAAGGCGCUCUGCUGGGCCAUAACUGACGCUCAUGGACGAAAGCCAGGGGAGCGAAAGGGAUUAGAUACCCCUGUAGUCCUGGCCGUAAACGAUGAACACUAGGUGUCGGGGGAAUCGACCCCCUCGGUGUCGUAGCCAACGCGUUAAGUGUUCCGCCUGGGGAGUACGGCACGCAAGUGUGAAACUCAAAGGAAUUGACGGGGGCCCGCACAAGCGGUGGAGUAUGUGGUUUAAUUCGAUGACAACGCGAAGAACCUUACCAGGGUUUGACAUCCUGCGAAUCCCUUGGAAACGAGGGAGUGCCUUCGGGAGCGCAGUGACAGGUGGUGCAUGGCAUGUCGUCAGCUCGUGUCGUGAGAUGUUUUUGGGUUAAGUCCCGCAACGAGCGCAACCACACGUCUUUAGUUGCCAGCAUUCAGUUGGGCACUCUAGAGAGACCGCCGGUGAUAAACCGGAGGAAGGUGUGGAUGACGUCAAGUCAUCAUGCCCCUUACAUCCUGGGCUACACACGUACUACAAUGCUAC